AUUGAACGCUGGCGGCAUGCCUUACACAUGCAAGUCGAACGGCAGCGCGGACUUCGGUCUGGCGGCGAGUGGCGAACGGGUGAGUAAUACAUCGGAACGUACCCUGUUGUGGGGGAUAACUAGUCGAAAGAUUAGCUAAUACCGCAUACGACCUGAGGGUGAAAGUGGGGGACCGCAAGGCCUCACGCAGCAGGAGCGGCCGAUGUCUGAUUAGCUAGUUGGUGGGGUAAAGGCCCACCAAGGCGACGAUCAGUAGCUGGUCUGAGAGGACGAUCAGCGCAACUGGGACUGAGACACGGCCCAGACUCCUACGGGAGGCAGCAGUGGGGAAUUUUGGACAAUGGGGGCAAACCUGAUCCAGCAAUGCCGCGUGUGUGAAGAAGGCCUUCGGGUUGUAAAGCACUUUUGUCCGGAAGGAAAUCGCGCUGGUUAAUACCUGGCGUGGAUGACGGUACCGGAAGAAUAAGCACCGGCUAACUACGUGCCAGCAGCCGCAGUAA
rnacentral:rRNA from 1 species